AGGCGGGCUCGUUUUGUUUGUGAGACUAAUGUGUAAAAUCAUAUACGGUUUUACAACAUAAAUGCUGCUCAGAUUGCAUAAUUUGUUGGCGAAAUGUAAAUAUUUGUCGGAUUUAUCACUUUUAUGGACAAAAACUGCACUGGACGCUUGUCAUGGAUUAUUUACCCAAGUGUGGCGGGUUGGAUUAAUCUGGCGAUCGCUUUUUCAUAAUAAAGAGAUUCAGAACAUUGGCUCCAGAGGCGAACCAGACACCAACCGCAGUUCCUCCAUGUUCAGAACUGAAAUUCCUGUAAGCCACCCUCUCAAACAUCUCCAUCAUGCAUCCCUGGACUCCCAUUUUCCAAGCCAUCUCCCCCCGAACCCUCCAAGCAUACUGGAAAGCUUGGAAAUGUUUCAAGAUUUACCACGAAACUUUCAAACUGUCUUUCCCCAAUUUUUCUUCAUCUUCUAUCUCAUCAUUUUGUCUCAUGUCUCAACCACAUCAAAGGUUUUUACUCCAGGACAAUUAAGGGGUACCUGAGCAGCAUCCACUUCUUCAACAAACUAAUCUUCGGCAAAAUCUCCCCCCAGCUACAGGUGUCACAGACCCCUCCAGCACAAUAGCAGCUCCUGCGAGAGCUCAUUUUUAUGUGGCAGUAACCUCCACAGUUUCCUUUGCGUUUCCGCUUAUUCUUUACUCUAUCCCUUUCCUCCUUCUCAUUGAGACUUUCUCCAUUCCAAUACAUGUGACUUAACCCAUCGCUUUUGUGGCUCCGAUGUUAGCGACUCGCUGCCCCGGUUAUGACUUCUUUUGGGGGGUAUUCAAGCUCGGGUCAAGUCUUGAACCUCGACCCCUCCGCCAGGGACAGUGAGUCAAAACAAGUUUACACUAUCCUCUCCUGGAUUACAUUAACAUGCAAACUACUGAAACUCAAUAUUUGUGUUACGGGCCUGGGUAGCUCACCAAGUAAAGCCUGAGUAGCUCAGCGAGUAAAGACGUUGACUACCACCCCUGGAGUCGCGAGUUCGAAUCCAUGGCGUGCUAAGUGACUCCAGCCAGGUCUCCUAAGCAACCAAAUUGGCCCGGUUGCUAGGGAGCAUAGAGUCACAUGGGGUUACCUCCUCGUGGUCGCGAUUAGGGGUUCUCGCUCUCAGUGGGGCGCGUGGUAAGUGACUUAUCCUCCACUACCCGGAUUGAGAUGAGCAACCGCACCACCAUGAGGACUAAGUAGUGGGAAUUGGGCAUUCCAAAUUGGGAGAAAAAGGGGAUAAAAAAUAAAUACAAAUAUUUGAUGCAUUGCAUAAUUUUACAGUUUUGUUAAUAAAUUCAGUAUGCUCACACGUCAUGAAUGUGAGAUCAAACCAUGCAUUUCUUGAAUUCAAGCAGAUAAGGGCUAUAUCUGGGGCCAAUGAAAUUCAAAUCCAAAGACAGAAACAAAUAAUAUAAGAGAGAUUUUUAUUAUGUUUCAAAAGCAAGUGAAAAAAACAAUAAUAUUGCAUAUUUUGUCGCACUGAAAUGCUCAUUCUACAGUAUGGCAUUGAUUUUGAGUUCAGUGCAGAUGUAUAUUUUUUGGUAUUAACAACAGUAAGGUUAUCUAUAACAUCUAUAACAAUUACAACCUAGUUUAUGUGUCUAAAUUAUUCUGACAGUGUGACUCAGUUGGAACUCCUUUCAUCAGGUUCUUUUGAUUCAAAUUCUGUCAUCUCUUGGAAUUUCUGAAGGCAAACAAAGCCAGUUAUAUUUUCUUACACUCAAAAAAAUAUUUUAGCCAAUUUUUGUUUUAGGAUAUACGCAUUUCUAUUUCAUCUAAAAACAACAAUUUUUUUUAAAUUGUUUAUUUUGCAUUUUCCCUUAUAAAAAUGUAAAUGUAUGUAUUUAUUUAUUUAUUGUUUAUAAUUUUAACAGUGGUAUUUGUAACAAGACCAUGGUAAGCACAUGGAAGAUGGAUGGUUAGAUUUCUAUAAAACAAACUAUUGCAGUUUUGUAAUUAUAAACAGGAGGCCUCUAAAACAAUAAAUACAAAAUAUAAACCUUUAUAAGUUUCACAGACACACUAAGCUCUACUUUAACAACCUGUCUAGACAUCAUCUGUCCUAUCUCCUCAAGGCCAGCACAUGCUACACCACCCAGCCCCUGGCUGUCUGAUGUCCUUCGUGAACAUCGGACUGACCUCAGGGCAGCUGAGAGGAGAUGGCGGAAAUCUAAAGAUCCAGCAGAUCUAGAACAAGCAGCUGGAUGACAAUCAGUCAGGCUUUAAAAGUGGACACCACCGAGACCGCCCUGCUGUCUGUCACCGAGUCGCUAAGAUGGGCGAAAGCUGAAUCAAGAUCAUCAGUCCUGAUUCUGCUGGACCUUUCUGCAGCCUUUGACACAGUCAACCAUCAGAUCUUACUCUCUACCCUCUCCUCGCUGGGCAUCACAGGAACUGUGCUUGACUGGUUUAAUUCCUGUCUCUCAGCCCAACGACACCACAGUGACUGCUCGAAUUUCUGCCUGCCUGGCAGACAUCUCGGCCUGGAUGAAGGAGCGCCACCUGCAACUCAACCCAGCCAAGACUGAACUCCUUGUCUUUCCAGCCAACCCUGAUGUUGAACACAACAUCACCGCGCAGCUGGGUGCAACUACAGUAACACCUUCCAAAUCGGUCAGAAAUCUAGGGGUAACCAUCGACAACGGACUAAAUUUCACAGACCACAUCUCAAAGACCGCAAGAUCAUGUAGAUUUACACUCUACAAUAUCAGGAAGAUAAGACCCUUCCUCUCUGAACAUGCCACACAACUUCUUGUCCAGUCACUUGUCAUAACUAGACUGGACUACUGUAACACUCUCAUUGCAGGCCUCCCUGCAUGUGCAACUAGACCCCUCCAAAUGAUCCAGAAUGCAGCAGCACGUCUGGUCUUUAAUGAACCAAAGAGAGCACAUGUUACAUCACUCCUUGUCUCUCUCCACUGGCUACCGGUUGAUGCAUGUAUCAAAUUCAAGGCUCUGAUGCUGGCAUACAGAACAGUCACUGGGUCUGCUCCAGCAUACCUAAAAUCAUUUAUGCAGAGCUACGCACCCACUAGAAGUUUGCGGUCGGCUAAGGAACAUCGCCUUGUUGUACCAACACAAAGAGGCACCAAAACACUUUCCCGGACUUUCAGCUUCAUCAUACCACGUUGAUGGAACGACCUUCCCAACUCCAUCCGUGAAGCUGACUCACUCUCUGUCUUCAAAAAAUGACUAAAAACACAUCUUUGCCAUGAGCACUUAACCAGUCAUUAAAAAAUAAAUAAAUAAAUUCUGUUGCACCGGGGCCUGGGUAGCUCAGUGGUAAAAUACGCUGGCUACCACCCCUGGAGUUCGCUAGUUCGCUAGUUCGAAUCCCAGGGUGUGCUGAGUGACUCCAGCCAGGUCUCCUAAGCAACCAAAUUGGCCCGGUUGCUAGGGAGGGUAGAGUCACAUGGGAUAACCUCCUCGUGGUCGCUAUAAUGUGGUUUGUUCUCGGUGGGGCGCAUGGUGAAUUGAGCAUGGUUGCCGCGGUGGAUGGCGUGAAGCCUCCACACGCGCUAUGUCUCCGUGGCAACACGCUCAACAAGCCACGUGAUAAGAUGCGCGGGUUGACUGUCUCAGACGCGGAGGCAACUGGGAUUCGUCCUCCGCCACCCGGACUGAGGCGAAUCACUAUGUGACCACGAGGACUUAGAGCGCAUUGGGAAUUGGGCGUUCCAAAUUGGGAGAAAAAGGGGAAAAAUCCCAAAAAAAAUAAAAAAAUAAAUAAAUUCUGUUGCACUUUAUUCUGUUUUGAAUACUAUUAUGAUGCUAGUGAUACUUUGUAAUACAGCACUUUUCAUACCACUGUCUCCUAAGAUGAUUCGCUUAUGUUUUCCUCUCUUGUAAGUCGCUUUGGAUAAAAGCGUCUGCCAAAUGAAUAAAUGUAAAUGUAAAUGUAAAUAACAAUAUUUUGACACAUACCUGAUUUGUUGCACCUGUUUGCAUUCAUGUCAGACAUAAGCAAUUGUUUUUGUAAAGCACUUGUGGGAUGGGCAUUGACCAUGAAGCAUUUAACCAUUCAAUGGAAGCAAAGAAAUCUCACCUGUCAUACAAAUGAAUUUACAUGAACAAUGUUACAACAUUGCUUAUUGUAUUAGUGACCUAGAAAUCGUUUAGAAUCUUAAAUAUUUCUUAAUAUUUUUUACCAUAUAAUUUAUUUGUUUUCAAAAUCCUUUGAAAACAAAGAACAAUUCAUCUAAGCAAACAUGAUGGGCAAUACAAAGUAAGACUAUUACAAGUCACUCUGUUAUAUACACCAAAAAACAACGUGCAAAUUAACACAUGAAAAAAUAAAGCCUACUGGGCAGACUAGGUUCGAGAAAGUAUUGUUACUACAAGGGGAAAUAUUAAUAACAGAGCUGAUAUUUUUCCCUGUGUCUUUGGCUGCACUCUACUCCGAGAAAUCACGUGACAUCUACAUGCAACAUGCCCAGUGUUCGGCAAGUUUGGAAUUUUGUCUCGGAGCGCCACCUAGUGUAUACUAAUGCUAACGAAGCAAAAAUAAAUGUAUUACAGAAAUGUCUAGUGCUAUGUGUGUGUUUUGAGAGAUAACUAGAGCUCUCAUGAUGUUAUAUUAAUAAUUUGCAACGGAGUAUUACAUUUUUAAAUGGCACAAAUAUUGUCCUGAACUAUUAACACAACAAUGAGCAGUCCUGCGCGCGUGCGCCGUAAACAUUAAAAUGAAAGUAAAAUGCUGCCAGCUGCAUAAAUGUUUUGGGGAACAACUGACCAAUCUGCACGAAGCAGCAAAUUUAACCUACAGAGCGACGAUGUUUGAGAUUUCCACCAUACACAAGAUAUUUAUCAUCAGAUUUGCAUUGUUUUUGGCUGGUUUUGCUGCAUUUUGGUGAUCAAGACCGCUAAAUACAGUUCAGUUUAAUACAGUGCAUCCGGAAAGUAU